rnacentral:sRNA from 1 species
CCCUGGGAUUCUGGUGCUGAUGGCGGGACUUCGGUUCAGGCGGAGGCAUCCUUACCAAGGAAUCUGCUUUUCAAGUAUGCCACCAACAGUGAAGAGGUUAUUGGAGUGAUGAGUAAAGAAUACAUACCAAAGGGCACACGUUUUGGACCCCUAAUAGGUGAAAUCUACACCAAUGACACAGUUCCCAAGAAUGCCAACAGGAAAUAUUUUUGGAGGGUAAGUAAGGGAAAUUUCUUCAGACCCAUUAAAUGUUAGGGAAAAAAUGGAGCUAAAAGAGCUGGGUGGCUCACCUUUCUCAUCCUGUGCUGAGAAAUGCUGGGGCUCACCCAUAAGUAUCCAGCAUCCCCAUGAACACGGAAUUCUGAACAAAUGUGAUGAAACCGAUUAAAUGUUUGGCCUGUAGGUGGUUAGUGAUGGAGAUACGGGCUAUAUAUGAAUCUUGAUUUUUACAAUUCAUUAGAGCUUUGUAAUGAAAGGAAACAGUUUGUUGCUUGCUUUAAGGAUAGGUUCAUUUGCAUUUCUCUGCAAGGAAGUAGUAAUGAGUCACCAAGCCUUAGAUUUUACCCCUUUUUGAUUUCUUGCUGACUUAACUUUAAUUGAAUGGAAGAGUUAUCACAAAUGAAUUAUCUUUUUGGUUUUUUUUUUG